GUAUCAGCAAAAAUGCAUCUGGAAAAUUGCAGAGACAACAAAAACUUGAUAAUAAAUUAGUUACUGAUAGUAAAUUAGAUCUUUCCAACUUGUAAGACAUCAAAUUGCACUUCAGUAUUGUAUAUCCUUAUGACUGGUAGUAUCAUUAAAUGUGUAAUAUUUUACAAAUAAA